AGCUCCAAUAGCGUAUAUUAAAGUUGUUGCAGUUAAAAAGCUCGUAGUUGAAUUUCUGGCUGGAAGGGAGCGGUCCCGCAUCUUUGCGGGUACUUGCUCGUCUUCUGCCAUCCUUGGGCUUAGUCUCGCUGAUAUUAACUUAUCGGCGUGUACGAUGCCCAUCGUUUACUGUGAGCAAAUUAGAGUGUUCAAAGCAGGCUUAUGCCGUUGAAUAUAUUAGCAUGGAAUAAUAAGAUAGGACCUAGUGACUAUUUUGUUGGUUUGCGUUAUUAGGUAAUGAUUAAGAGGGACAGUUGUGGGUAUUCGUAUUCAGGUGUAAGAGGUGAAAUUCUUAGAUUAUCGGAAGACGAACGACUGCGAAAGCAUUUACCAAGGAUGUUUUCAUUA
rnacentral:rRNA from 1 species